GGACAAUCUUCGGAAAAUAAAUGGAGCACUUCAGGAUGAGAUUGCUAGGAGGAAGGCUCAAUUCAAGAAAGCCUGGAGGGAUGCUCCAUUAUAUCCUGAUUGGAGGAAAGAAGAAUUCAAAGCUGCAAAUGUGACCCUGGAUGAAGCCACUGCCCAUCCUGCCCUCCUCGUGUCUGAAAGAGGGAGGCGGGUUACCUGGC